rnacentral:lncRNA from 1 species
CCGUCCUGCAGAAGAGGCGAACCUGCGCUAAUGACACGGGUGGCGCCUGGUGCUUAGGUCCUGUUGCCAUCGUUUUGGACAGUUAAGUGCCCGCGAGCUAAACCCGGUGUCUUCGUUUAGUACUGGGAGCUUGGCAUCGGUGUUAAACUAGUUGAGGAGGUGUUUGGUUCAGAAUGGCUUCAGUCGUUUGAACUCCCAGCUCUCUGGAUUUGAGACCUCAACCAUCAGCCUCUCAGGAGAGGUUUAGGUUUGGAGAAAAUCGAGGAACAGAGUUUGCAAGCCAGUGGCAACAAUGACGGUUAAACUUCCCAGUCACUGCCUUUAGUUCCACUCUGGGCCGAGCUCCGUUUGGGGCUCACCUCCUCUUUGGUCAGGCGGACAUCAGCUGAGGAAACGUGCAGUGAGUAUGGGAGAGUCCCUUGUAAAGGAGCAGGCUUCAGCCUUCCAGGUGCAGAAAUGGAAAUGUGUACAAGGUAUGGCGACGGGAAAGAGGGGCAGCGAUCGCCUGCUGGAAGACCGUCACAGAGAACAUAGGUCUUGAUCUGGGGCUUCGAAGACGAAGGACCGGUGGUGGGUGCACUGCAGGCAAAAGCUGGCAGGCUGACAGAGGCGGCCUCAGGACGGACCUUCUGGCUAUUGACCAUUUUGCUGUGGCUCACCCGGACCGUGUGGAGGCGCGAGAUCAACCAUGAGCUCCGUUGCAGUUUUGACCCAAGAGAGCUUUGCUGAGCACCGCAGUGGACUCAUUCCGCAGCAGAUAAGAGUUGCCACUUUAAAUUCAGAAGAGGAGAGCGACCCUCCAACCUACAAGGAUGCCUUCCCCCCGCUCCCCGAGAAAGCAGCUUGCUUGGAAAACCCCCAGGAACCUGCCGGCGCCUGGAGCAACAAAAUCCGGCCCAUCAAGGCGUCCGUCAUCACUCAGGUGUUCCACGUACCCCUGGAGGAGAGGAAGUACAAGGACAUGAACCAGUUUGGAGAAGGUGAACAAGCCAAAAUCUGCCUCGAGAUCAUGCAGAGGACCGGCGCUCACCUGGAGCUGUCCCUCGCCAAAGACCAGGGCCUCUCCAUCAUGGUUUCUGGGAAGCUGGACGCCGUCAUGAAGGCCCGGAAGGACAUUGUCGCUCGGCUGCAGACUCAGGCCUCCGCCACCGUUGCCAUCCCCAAAGAGCACCAUCGCUUUGUCAUCGGCAAAAACGGAGAGAAACUGCAGGACUUGGAGCUCAAAACCGCAACCAAAAUCCAGAUCCCACGCCCCGAUGACGCCAGCAAUCAGAUCAGGAUCACCGGCACCAAAGAGGGCAUCGAGAAGGCUCGCCACGAGGUCCUGCUCAUCUCCGCGGAGCAGGACAAACGUGCGGUGGAGCGGCUCGAGGUGGAGAAGGCCUUCCACCCCUUCAUCGCGGGGCCCUACAACCGGCUGGUCAGCGAGAUCAUGCAGGAGACGGGCACACGCAUCAACAUCCCGCCGCCCAGCGUCAACCGCACCGAGAUCGUCUUCACGGGCGAAAAGGAGCAGCUGGCGCAGGCCGUGGCUCGCAUCCGCAAGAUCUACGAGGAGAAGGCCAACAGCUUCACGGUCUCCUCCGUCUCGGCUCCUUCCUGGCUUCACCGUUUCAUCAUUGGCAAGAAGGGUCAGAACCUGGCCAAAAUCACCCAGCAGAUGCCCAAGGUUCACGUUGAGUUCACGGAAGGCGAGGACAGGAUCACCCUGGAAGGCCCCACGGAGGACGUCAGCGCGGCCCAGGAGCAGAUCGAAGCCAUGGUCAAGGACUUGGUGAGCCGGAUGGACUACGUGGAGAUCAGCAUCGACCACAAGUUCCACAGACACCUCAUCGGGAAGAGCGGGGCCAACAUAAACAGGAUCAAGGACCAGUACAAGGUGUCGGUGCGCAUACCCCCCGACAGCGAGAGGAGCAGCCUGAUCCGCAUCGAGGGCGACCCGCAGGGCGUGCAGCAGGCCAAGCGCGAGCUGCUGGAGCUCGCCUCCCGCAUGGAGAACGAGCGCACCAAGGAUCUGAUCAUCGAGCAGAGGUUCCAUCGCACCAUCAUCGGGCAGAAGGGGGAGCGGAUCCGAGAGAUUCGGGACAAAUUCCCGGAGGUUAUCAUCAACUUUCCAGACCCAGCCCAGAAAAGCGAUAUUGUUCAACUCAGGGGGCCCAAGAACGAGGUGGAAAAAUGCACGAAAUACAUGCAGAAGAUGGUGGCAGAUCUGGUGGAAAACAGCUAUUCGAUUUCUGUUCCGAUCUUCAAGCAGUUUCACAAGAACAUCAUCGGGAAAGGAGGGGCCAACAUUAAGAAGAUUCGAGAAGAGAGCAACACCAAGAUCGACCUCCCCGCCGAGAACAGCAACUCAGAGACCAUUGUCAUCACAGGCAAGCGAGCCAACUGCGAGGCUGCCCGGAGCCGCAUUCUGUCCAUCCAGAAAGACCUGGCCAACAUCGCCGAGGUGGAGGUCGCCAUCCCUGCCCGGCUGCACAACGCCCUCAUCGGCACCAAGGGCCGGCUCAUCCGCUCCAUCAUGGAGGAGUGCGGCGGCGUCCACAUCCACUUCCCCGUGGAAGGCUCCGGGAGCGACACCGUGGUCAUCAGGGGCCCUUCCUCCGACGUGGAGAAGGCCCGCAAGCAGCUCCUGCACCUGGCGGAGGAGAAGCAAACCAAGAGCUUCACCGUCGACAUCCGAGCCAAGCCGGAAUACCACAAGUUCCUCAUCGGCAAAGGGGGCGGCAAAAUCCGCAAGGUGCGCGACAGCACCGGGGCCCGCAUCAUCUUCCCCGCCGCCGAGGACAAGGACCAGGACCUGAUCACCAUCAUAGGCAGGGAGGACGCCGUCCGGGAGGCCCAGCGGGAGCUGGAGGCCCUGAUCCAGAACCUGGACAACGUGGUUGAGGACUUCAUGCUGGUGGACCCCAGGCACCACCGUCACUUUGUCAUCCGACGAGGCCAGGUCCUGCGGGAGAUCGCAGAGGAGUACGGCGGGGUGAUGGUUAGCUUCCCCCGCUCCGGCACGCAGAGCGACAGAGUCACCCUGAAGGGGGCCAAGGACUGCGUGGAGGCGGCCAAGAAGCGCAUUCAGGAGAUCAUCGAGGACCUGGAAGCCCAGGUGACCAUAGAGUGCGCCAUUCCCCAGAAGUUCCAUCGCUCGGUCAUGGGCCCCAAAGGUUCCAGAAUCCAGCAGAUAACUCGCGACCAUAACGUUCAGAUUAAAUUCCCAGACAGAGAGGAGAACCCAGCGCACGGCACGGAGCCAGCCGUCCAGGAGAACGGCGACGACCCCGGGGAGGGGAGAGACGGGAAGGAGGCCGAGCCCGGCUCCCCCAGGAGAUGCGACAUCAUCACCAUCUCCGGCCGGAAGGAGAAGUGCGAGGCCGCCGCCCUGGUUCCCGUCACCAUUGAGGUGGAGGUGCCCCUUGACCUUCACCGGUACAUCAUCGGCCAGAAGGGGAGCGGGAUCCGCAGGAUGAUGGACGAGUUUGAGGUGAAUAUUCACGUCCCGGCCCCCGAGCUGCAGUCAGGCGUCAUCGCCAUCACGGGCCUGGCUGCCAACCUGGACCGGGCCAAGGCUGGGCUGCUGGAGCGGGUGAAGGAGCUGCAGGCGGAGCAGGAAGACCGGGCUUUGCGGAGCUUCAAGCUGAGCGUCACCGUUGACCCCAAGUACCACCCCAAGAUCAUCGGGCGGAAGGGGGCGGUGAUCACCCAGAUCCGCCUGGAGCACGACGUCAACAUCCAGUUUCCUGAUAAGGACGAUGGGAGCCAGCCGCAGGACCACAUCACCAUCACGGGCUACGAGAAGAACACCGAGGCCGCCCGGGACGCCAUCCUCAAGAUCGUGGGGGAGCUCGAGCAGAUGGUUUCUGAGGACGUGCCGCUCGACCACCGCGUCCACGCCCGCAUCAUCGGUGCCCGCGGCGUGGACAUUCGCUUCCCGCAGAGCGGGGCCCCCGACCCCAACUGCGUCACCGUGACGGGGCUGCCGGAGAACGUGGAGGAAGCCAUCGACCACAUCCUCAACCUGGAGGAGGAAUACCUGGCCGACGUGGUGGACACCGAGGCGCUGCAGCUGUACAUGAAGCCCCCGGCCCACGAGGAGGCCAAGGCGCCGUCCAGGGGCUUCGUGGUGCGGGACGCCCCCUGGACCGCCAGCAGCAGCGAGAAGGCUCCCGACAUGAGCAGCUCGGAGGAGUUCCCCAGCUUCGGGGCUCAGGUGGCCCCCAAGACCCUCCCCUGGGGCCCCAAACGAUAAUGCUCGACAAGCAGAAACCUCUCCAGCCUGCUGACCUGAACCCGCCACACGAUGGUCCGUCUCAAUCCGACCCAGCGGCUGGACCCUCCGCAAAUUCUUGACGCCCCUUCCCCGAGGUCUCACAGCGAAGCCGGCGUGGCCCGCGCCCUGGCGGCCGGGUCUCAGGCCUGGCCGCCCCCGGCACAGGCUCUGCUCCCGACCUCUGUGCUGGGGUGGCGGCCGCACGAGCCCCGCGGAGGCCCGCGUCAUCCACCCGGCCUGCCCCGGCUCCGGCCUCCCCGGGAGAGCGCUGCAGCUGCGGCCGCGUCCACUUCCUGUGUCACGACCUCAGGAAAUAAAUGUCCUUGACUUUC